GUCAUCCAAAUCGAUGGAGGUUCAACGAAAUCGGAGGUUGUGCCUGAUUUUUGCCUUCAUUAACUGUACUAUAAAUGGAUUAUGACAAGUGU